rnacentral:rRNA from 1 species
UACGUAGGGGGCAAGCGUUGUCCGGAUUUAUUGGGCGUAAAGAGCGUGUAGGCGGCCAUUCAGGUCAGCUGUGAAAACUCGAGGCUCAACCUCGAGACGUCGGUUGAAACCGUUUGGCUAGAGUCCGGAAGAGGAGAGUGGAAUUCCCGGUGUAGCGGUGAAAUGCGCAGAUAUCGGGAAGAACACCCGUGGCGAAGGCGGCUCACUGGUCCGGUACUGACGCUGAGGUGCGAAAGCGUGGGGAGCAAACAGG